rnacentral:tRNA from 1 species
GCCUAGUUAGCUUAGUUGGUAGUGCGUCUGCCUUGUAAGCGCUAGGCCGCGGGUUCGAUUCCUGCCCGUGGCG